rnacentral:rRNA from 1 species
AGUAGGGGGCCCGGGGUCCGUUUAUUUCGAUGGUAGAUUGGACUAUAUGGCUUUCACGGGUGACAGGGAAUUAGGGUUCGAUUCUGGAGAAGGAGCCUGAGAACGGCUACUACAUCUACGGAAGUCUUUUAUUCCCCGUAAAUUACCCAAUCCUGACACAGGGAGGUGGUGACAAGAUAUAACAACGCAAUUUCAUUGUGAUUGUAGUGAGGGUAUUCCAAACCGAACCACUAGUACGAUUAGAGGGCAAGUCUGGUGCCAGCAGCCGCGGUAAUUCCAGCUCUAAUAGCGUAUAUUAAAGUUGCUGCAGUUAAAAAGCUCGUAGUUGGAUUUCAAGGAUUGUUUUCUUUCUUUUAGUAUGCACCCUACUAGUCUUUGACUUGUUACUGUGAGAAAAUUAGAGUGUUUAAAGCAGGCUAUUGCAGAUACAUUAGCAUGAAUACGAAUGUAUCUAGAAUCUGGUUAACACGCCCCGACCCCCCGCGACAGUGGGGGCAUUAGUAUUAAUUGUCAGACGUGAUAUUCUUUGUAUUUGUUAAGACUACGUAUGCGAAAGCAUUUGCCAACGCUGCCUUCACUCAUCAGACGAAAGAUAGGGAUCAAGACAUCAAAUACUGUCGUAGUCCUAUCUAUAACUAUGCCGACUAGGAUUGAUGAACAUCACAUUUCAGUACUAUGAAAAUCAGUCUUGGUUCUUGGGGGGAGAUAUGGUCCCAGACUGACUAGACUGACGAGCACCACCGGAUGACU